rnacentral:rRNA from 1 species
GACGAACGCUGGCGGCGUGCUUAACACAUGCAAGUCGAGCGAGGCCCUUCCUUCGGGAAGGUGCCCUAGCGGCGAACGGGUGAGUAACACGUGGGCAACCUGCCUCUAGCACUGGGAUAACUCCGGGAAACCGGGGCUAAUACCGGAUAUGACCUCCGAAGGCAUCUUCGUUGGUGUAAAGGAUUCUGGCUAGAGAUGGGCCCGCGGCCUAUCAGCUUGUUGGUGGGGUAACGGCCUACCAAGGCGACGACGGGUAGCCGGCCUGAGAGGGCGACCGGCCACGACUGGGACUGAGACACGGCCCAGACUCCUACGGGAGGCAGCAGUGGGGAAUAUUGCACAAUGGGCGAAAGCCUGAUGCAGCGACGCCGCGCGAGGGAUGAAGGCCUUCGGUUGUAAACCUCUUCUAGCAGGACGAAGCGCAAGUGACGGUACCUGCAGAAGAAGCACCGGCCAACUACGUGCCAGCGGCCGCGGUAAAAUAGACGUACU